AUGCACGCUGGCGGCGUGCCUCAUACCUGCCAGUCGAGCGAACGGACGAGAAGCUUGCUUUUCUGAUGUUAGCGGCGGACGGGUGAGUAACACGUGGAUAACCUACCUAUAAGACUGGGAUAACUUCGGGAAACCGGAGCUAAUACCGGAUAAUAUUUUGAACCGCAUGGUUCAAAAGUGAAAGACGGUCUUGCUGUCACUUAUAGAUGGAUCCGCGCUGCAUUAGCUAGUUGGUAAGGUAACGGCUUACCAAGGCAACGAUGCAUAGCCGACCUGAGAGGGUGAUCGGCCACACUGGAACUGAGACACGGUCCAGACUCCUACGGGAGGCAGCAGUAGGGAAUCUUCCGCAAUGGGCGAAAGCCUGACGGAGCAACGCCGCGUGAGUGAUGAAGGUCUUCGGAUCGUAAAACUCUGUUAUUAGGGAAGAACAUAUGUGUAAGUAACUGUGCACAUCUUGACGGUACCUAAUCAGAAAGCCACGGCUAACUACGUG
rnacentral:rRNA from 1 species